GAAAAUAAGAUAAUAGAAAUGUGAUUGUUGAUUAUUAUGAUAGUUUAAAAUGUGGGAGAAUCUCUGAUAAACGUGGACAUGGAAACCUGUUGAUGACAGGUGAGUCAUCUUUUUGUAAACUGUAUAAUUUCAAGUACCCUGGUUCAUGAUUUUCUCCGCCAGACUCAUUAGUGAGCUCAAACCCUAUAUAUACGCACCGUGUUCAUCGAUUUCCAUGUACAAAAACCAGAUCGAGGAAAUAGCUGUAGUAGGAUAGCCACUAUAAAAAGAGAGAGAGAGAGAGAGAAGGGUAUGUAGAUUGUAGAUCACUAGAUUCACUAGAUUGUAGUGUCACUUGGUCACCAGAGCCUAAUAAAGAAUAGUGCACAACAGUGAAGUGACUGGCACAUAGAGAGACUUAAAAGAAGGAACGGGAACCCCACUUUUCCAUCCUCACUUUCCUGUUUUUUUACCCUUUAUUCACUGUACUUACACAGUACAACAUUUAUGUCGGUUUGUGUGAGAGUGUGUGUGUGAGAUAAGGGUCUUUCUUUUGCUUUAGAGAGAGAGCAAAUGAGAGAAGGAGAAACAUGAUGGGAAAUGAAAAUCUCCUUUCUUGCUAGUUCUGGUUUUUCUAUCUCUGGUUUGUGUUGUGUGAGUGGAGAAAAAUCCUCUCACUCUGGAAAAGGAAAAGAUGAUAUUUGCUUCCCCUUUGUUUGUUUCAUUUUUUUUGUUUUUGGAAACAGUGCUUUUACUGUUUUACCAAAUUUGUGUGGAUGUGAGAUCUUCAAUCGUUUUCCCUUCUCUAACUCUCACGAAGACAUUGACUACUCUCCCUAUUCUCCUCUCUCUCUCUCUCUCUCUCCUUCUGCUACUUCUUUAAUACAGUUUCUCUUCCGUGAUUUCUGCUUCUUCCGACCCUUUGAUUUUUAUUUUUCAUUUUUCAUUUUUCUAGCUGUUUAUUUUUCCUGCUGGGAUAAAGUUAUAUGGAACUCAUUCUGUGUUCUUACUCAUGUUUCAUCUCACCCCUUUCUUUGUUGAUUUGGUUUCUUUUCUCCUUUAGCAGCUGUGCCUGUGAUACUGUUCUUUGUUCCAAGCUUUCGGUUUUUGGUUCGCUUUGUGUGAAGAACCGGAGAAGUAUAUUAAGUUCAAGAUGCAGUUAGUUUGGUUUUGAUUCAUGUUGCAUAAAGAAGUUGACCCUUUGAUUUUUUUUGCGCCUAUGAAUAUUACAUUGCAUACUCCUGUGUGAUUUGAUCAUAUACUUUAGAUUUUGUUGUGUCCGAUCGUGAUCUUUAUAUGCAGUGUAUUUAUUAGUGUAUCUGUUGUUCAUCUGUUUUGAAUGAUAUUCAAAGGGUUAGAAAAGAACACUAUUCUAGUAUCAAGAAGGAAAAAUAUUUUUGAGAAUCUUAAUGUAUUUUUCUGAGUACUUUUGAUAUUUUUAGGUCCUAGGGUUAGGGUUCUUGUUUUUAACAUCUUAGAAGCCAAUUUCACAAAAGCUGUUAUAUAAUUUCGAUUAACUUUACAUUCCUUGGCAGUCUGCAUGCUAGUUAAAAAUGAUUAAAAAGUUUUAAUACUUAAUUAAUCAUUGUUAAUUAAGCAUUUGAGUGCUUGGAAGAAAAUGAUUCCUUCUUUCUGGAAAAUGUUUAGUCUUACCCAUGAAUACUAAUUAAAGGUUAGUCUUCAGUAUUUGUCACCAUAUCUACAUACUGUUUACAGUGUUUGUCAAUAUGAAUUAUAGGUCCUUCAAUCCUUGGAUUAUUGUUAAUGAUUCCUUCUGUGCCUAGUAAUGAGAGCAUUGUAGUUCUGUCAUUCUAGAUUCAUCUCUGUUUGUUGAAUUUCCAUUUGUUUACCUUCUUGGAUAUACUAUGAAUAUGUUUACUUAUUAUUUUUUAUUGCAGCAUUUUUGCUUGGUCUUUGAUUAAAUUAAAUGCUAGCAGAUUUCACAUGAAUGAAAUGUUAUGUGAAGAUUCACACACACACACAUAUAUAUAUAUGUAUUGUCUUUUAAAUUCUAGAUUAUCUGUGUUUUUGCAACCACUCAAUAGGUAUUGUCUCAUUUGAUGUCAUUUUGUUUGAUCUUUAGAUCUGAUGGAAUAUUGUUGUUGUAACAUUUUUUGUUCAAAAUGUUCUUAUAUGCAAUGUACCAAUUUUGGACUAAGAAUAAUGAAGAUGUAUGGUUUGAGAAAUAGUUUAAGAGAGCUUCCUUCAGUCCACUCAUGGAUGGGUAGAGGGUUUGAAUUAUCUGCUGACUCAUUCAUUCAAACACAAUAGAAUUGACUUGAUGGUAUGCUAUUGUGAAUGUGUGAAUGAUGCAGGAGGUAAAAUUCAUCCUUUUCUUGUCUUUGCUUGGACUGAAGGGAGCUCCCUUUUAAUAUUUAUGUCAUUAUAUUAUAGUAACAUUUUUUUUAUCAUGAUUUACCUUUUCUUCAUCUUCUCAUUAUCUCUAUAUAUACCUCUUUUUUGUUGAUAUUUUUUUUUAUCUCUAUAUAUAACUCUUUAGUCAAGACUUGCUCAUGUUUCAGUGAUUUCUUCACUUUUUCCACAUACUCUUUGGCAUGAAAGAAUGUCCAAUUUCAUUUGAAUGUCAUCCAAUGAAAUCUGAAACUAAAAACUAAUGGUUUAUUAUAGUCAUUACUUGUUAUGGAAAUUAUACUCAAAGAACUUUUGUAUUUUAUUUGUGUUCAUUUAGCAAUCUCAGUUAUCGUUUACAAAUUAUCGUUGAAGAGUUUAUUUUUUUCUUUAACUUAUUCCCCCUGAUUUAUUUCAUGCAUUGGAAGAACUCAUUAAUCAGGAAGUUUUUUUUUUAAAUAGGUAGUAUAAAUUAGCUGGCCAAAAUCUAACAAUUUAAAUCUGUUGCAUAUAAUUUUUUUUAAUGAAGCUGAAAUUUAUUUACAUUGUUCUCAAACUUUCAAUCACUUUAAUUAUUAACAUAUUUACACCCUCUUUGCUUUAAAACCAUAAGCUUAGUGGGUAGUAAUGGUUUUGUGUUGGAUUUGGGGAAAUUUGUGGGAUGAAUUUACCUGUAUGAGGGAAAUAAGAAACAAGCUGUGAAGUUUUUAUGUUUAGGAAGCUCUUAGAAAUGCAAUUUCCUUUAACAUAUCCUAUUUUGGUUAUAAUUUAUAGAAAAUUAAAUUCAGAGUAAAAAGUUGAUCUUGCUAGUUUUACUAGUUUUAUUGUAACUUUUAAUAAACUAGAGAAAAUGUUUCAAUAAUUUCUUUUUUUGUCUUUUGUAACUUGAUUGCAAAUUUGACGGUGUUGUAGAUUUUUUUUUAUACUGAAAGCUUUGGUAUGUAUUUGACCACAUAUGUAGAUGGUGAAAAUUGAAUUAGGUUAUUACCUUGUUUUUCCAGUAUCAUAAGAGUUAUUUAUUGUUUUUGUAUGGUACUUACUACUUACCAAUGCUAUCACAUGAUUUGUCAUGCACAAGAUAAGAUUCUUACAACAUCUAAAGUAUUGUUAGUAGUUCAGAUUUUGUACAUUUACAUGAUGUUGCCAUUAUCCUAAACAGUGAUGUGGACCCCAUAUUGUCUCAUAAUUUUGAAUGUACAAUAUACAUGCUUGGCACAUAAUAUAGUAUAUGAAAAUUGAUCUUCCACCAACUAUGCCCUUAAUUUUUAGUUUAGGUAUGCAUGGAUUUAUAGCUUCCUAAAUCAUUUAUGCAACAAAUUCUUUUCUCUGUAGCUUUACAUCUUGAGAUUUUUCAGUAGGUUGAUGAAUUUAAUUUGAAUGGUUUACUUUAUAUAUAUUAUGUAGGAAUAUUCUAUCUUAUCAACUAAACUGAUUAAUUGAAGAUAUUGAGUUAAUUAAUUUAGAGGCAAUAAAACCAUUCUGGGAAAAAUUCAAGUGGCCCAUGUUAUACAUAUUAGGUUAGAGUAUCAAAAUGCGAAAAAAAUGAAUAUUUUAUAUUUAAUAUAAAUAUAUUUUUAUGGAUUAAUAUUUUUUUUACUUUUAUAACAUUUAAAAAUAUAAAGUUCUUUAAAAAAUAUUAUUUUUUACUUUAUAUUUAGUUUUCUCUUGAUUAAGAAGUUAGUGUCACUGAAAUUAUUUUAAUUCUUAUGAUUUUAUAAAAUAAAUAAUUCUAAUAUCCAUUAGAGACAAUGUAUAGUUCUAAAUGUAAGAUAUAUUUAAAACAAAUAAUUAAAUAAUAGCUAUUGGAAUUGCUUUGUAUAUAUCAAGUUCUUUUGAAUUCAAAUGUAAAAUCGGUUUUUAAGUGAUACUAAUUUUUAACUAUCUACAUUUUAUUUAAUAUUAUUGUGUUAAGAUUGUCUGCAUGUUUAAUAUUGGUCAUCGAUUUUAAUGAUUACGACUUGAGAUGAUUUAGAAAUUAUAAUUUUCAUAUUAUAAAUUAAAAAUAUGAAUGUGAAUUUGUGUAUAAAUGAAGAAAGUUAAAAAAAUGCUAUUUUGGAAAAAUAUAUUUAUAUAAAUAGUAUAAUGUUUUACAAAUAUCUUUAAAAUAUAAAAUAUAUGUAGAAAUAAUUUCAAUUUAAAUAUGGAAGUAAUUUUUAUAAUGCAUUUUAUUUUGUUAUUUAGGUGCAAUAUAAGUUAUAUAUACUAUAUUUUAAUUUUAGUAAUAUAAAGUUUUAUGGUUUUAACGUCUGUGACAUGUGGUCAUUAUUAGUUUUGACAAUUUUUGAUGUCAUAUUUUUUGUGUUCAGCUAUCACUUAACAGUGACACUAAUUAUAGUAAAUUAAUUUUUCUAUUCCAAGAAUUAAAGUGAAAAAUGAAAAAGUAUUUCAGUGUCAAAUCACAUCAGUAAAUUAGAAAGAUGUAAGUAGAAUAUUCAAAAAAAAAUUAUCAACAUACCCCUCUUAAUCUUUUUUAUUUUCUCCUAUUCACUUUUUUAUUUUUAUUAUUUAUUAGUCAUCUCAUUUUUACUGAUUGAUAUUGAUUUUGGUUGGCUAGCUGGCUCUAAACUCUGUCACAGAUGCCUCACAAAUAUACUACCUAUCUACAUUGAUUGCAGGGUAGUGUGUGUCUGGUGUGUGUAUAUGUAUGUUAUAUAUGUAUAUAUGUGUAUCACUUUAUUUCAAAACACCAACAAAAGCCAACUUUGGUCUCUUUUAGAACCCAAAGGUUUGGCUCUUAGUUGGAACUCAAAGACCACCAAUGCAUAGAAUAGGGUCAAGUUAGCCUGUGAUUGUAACACAUUUUACUGUGAUGUGUCAAUUUCAGGUACUGUUGUUGCAGAACAAUCAUCAUGAAAGGUGCACUAUGAGAUUGAGAAGCAACCUGGACUCAUUGGAUACUAAAUGAUAAUAAAAUGAGAAGAAAACAUACAUACAUAGCAUGAUGCAUUGUCAUACUCUUUCAAUUUCCUUUUAUGAAAAGAAAAGAGAAUUCUUUGUUGCAUAUAUAAAUGGUUACUGAUGAACCUUCCAGUGUUGCAGUGUCUGAAAUUAAAUAUUACAAACUCUGUCUUCUUGUCCAUCAGUCUGAACUUGGGUCUAGGAAGUUGGAACUUGGAGCUACACAGUUCUUCUACUAUUAUGUUGAAAUUUAUAAAUAUUUGAAUCAAUAUGGAGUUUACCCUAAACUAAUGAUCAUUUUUCUUAUAUUCUUUACCAUGGAAUUCAUUUUUUUUAAAGAGAAUAACAGAUAAAAAAGAGUUAAGAGUUUGUAUAUUUGAGUAUUUAAAUUGUUUUAGAACUGGUGGGAUAUCUAUUCUCAAACAGAGAACAUGUUCUUUAGGGUGUCAUUUUUUGACAAUUUAAAUAUGAUAUUUUUGGGGUUCUAAAAGGUUUUGGCAAAAGUACUUUUUCUUGAGUUCCAACUCUUGAGGCAAUAGUUCCAAUAUGGAAUAAUAUUAUUUAAGUAGGUUUGCAUGUGUUUAACUGAACUAGCUUAAAAAUUAAGUGAGUUUCUUUAGGAGUUCGAGGUGCAAGUACGCAUGAACUGGAUAUUUUACAUUUCUUUACUAUUUAAUGACUUAAUGCUGGAUGUUUCAGGAG
rnacentral:lncRNA from 1 species